rnacentral:rRNA from 1 species
UACGAAGGGUGCAAGCGUUAAUCGGAAUUACUGGGCGUAAAGGGUGCGUAGGCGGUUCGUUAAGUCUGUCGUGAAAUCCCCGGGCUCAACCUGGGAAUGGCGAUGGAUACUGGCGAGCUAGAGUGUGUCAGAGGAUGGUGGAAUUCCCGGUGUAGCGGUGAAAUGCAUAGAGAUCGGGAGGAACAUCAGUGGCGAAGGCGGCCAUCUGGGACAACACUGACGCUGAAGCACGAAAGCGUGGGGAGCAAACAGG